CUCCUCCAAGCCCAGACAGGUGCCCCACACGGGGAAGUAGUCUCCUCUGGAAUUGGCCUUAAAGCGAAUACAUUUGCAUCAUAGCCCCUUGUGCACUGUAGGCCUCACUAUGGAGGUCACCGUAGGCCUCACUAUGGAGGUCAACGGUGCACCGAGCACACAGACGGUACGCCUCGUGGUGACGGGGUGAGAUCCCGACUCGCGGCCCUACCCUACAGGGCACUCCCUCUGUCUUUCAACCCCCUCCCCGUUCUCCCUGCCCUACCCUGUUCCUG